GCAAACCUUCUUUCAUUUUCUGAAUCAGUGUUUCUCUCUUUGUCAUAGAUCCAUGUCAAUGAAGUUGUAAUCGAAGGCAUAGACAUAGCAAACUCCAUAAGUGACUAUGUUGCAGCCAAUGUCACAGAGAAUCUGGUGGUAGGAGCUGCAUCAAGGAAUGGUUUCGUUAGCAGGUACUUUUUAUUAUUCCCAAUAAGCUGUAGAAUUCACCAAUUCCAUAUCUAGCUACUUACAACACUUAGACUCAGAAGAUUCAAGACGAUGGACGUUCCAAGCUCUGUCUCCAAAAUUGCACCUGGCUUUUGUACAGUUUAUGUGAUCGCGAAAGGCAAAGUUCUAUCAAUACGUAAUGCAUCCGCUCCUGUCCCCAA
rnacentral:lncRNA from 1 species